UACGUAGGUGGCAAGCGUUGUCCGGAUUUACUGGGCGUAAAGAGCGCGCAGGCGGUCGAGUAAGUCGAAUGUGAAAGCCCCCGGCUUAACUGGGGAGGGUCACGCGAUACUGAUCGACUCGAAGGCAGGAGAGGGUAGUGGAAUUCCCGGUGUAGUGGUGAAAUGCGUAGAUAUCGGGAGGAACACCAGUGGCGAAGGCGACUACCUGGCCUGUUUCUUGACGCUGAGGCGCGAAAGCUAGGGGAGCAAACGGG
rnacentral:rRNA from 1 species